GUCCGCGUAGCUCAAUCGGAUAGAGCGUCGGCCUCCGGAGCCGAAGGUUAUGUGUUCGAAUCACAUCGCGGACG
rnacentral:tRNA from 1 species